rnacentral:rRNA from 1 species
GACGAACGCUGGCGGCGUGCCUAAUACAUGCAAGUCGAGCGGACGAUUCGAAAGCUUGCUUUUGAAUCGUUAGCGGCGGACGGGUGAGUAACACGUGGGCAACCUGCCCUGUAGACGGGGAUAACACCGAGAAAUCGGUGCUAAUACCGGAUAACACGAAAUGUCGCAUGACGUUUCGUUGAAAGGCGGCGCAAGCUGCCGCUACAGGAUGGGCCCGCGGCGCAUUUGCGAGUUGGUGAGGUAACGGCUCACCAAGGCGACGAUGCGUAGCCGACCUGAGAGGGUGAUCGGCCACACUGGGACUGAGACACGGCCCCGACUCCUACGGGAGGCAGCAGUAGGGAAUCUUCCGCAAUGGACGAAAGUCUGACGGAGCAACGCCGCGUGAGCGAAGAAGGCCUUCGGGUCGUAAAGCUCUGUUGUUAGGGAAGAACAAGUAACGUAGUAACUGACGUUACUAUGACGGUACCUAACGAGAAAGCCACGGCUCACUACGUG